GUGGCUGUGGUGCAUAUAGUUGUCGCAGGCUAAGGUCGAAUAAACUUGCCGCCACUGUAUGUAUGGAGUCGUGCUGAACCACACAGGUUCAGUGGCUUCUAAAAAACAUGCGUGGGGUUGCAGCCGUUAAUUAACAGAAGGGGGUGUCAGGAUUAUAAAUUGCUGCUCGGCACAACUUUUCCUGUCAGGAUGGUAAUGUUGUUCGGCACAACUUUUCCUGUCAGGACAUUAAUGUUGCUCGGCACAACUUUUCCUGUCAGGAUGGUAAAUGCCAUUAACCACAUUUUUAUGUGCGGAUGAAUACGUGACAGGAGGCAGAUUCCAUCUCUGCUGUACCCUUGUGUAUGGUAUUAUCCAAGCCCAAGCUCAGGCUUCUGCCUAUUGGGGAG